rnacentral:lncRNA from 1 species
AAAGAGACAGAGGGAGAGAUUAAGAAAGCUCUCUUUAACACUAUGAAAAGAUUUGCUAAAAAUAUUCACAGAUAUAUGAGUCAUUUUCUAUUUCCUUGAGGUUAUAGACCAAUUUGGAUACUGACUUCUUCAAAAAGGGGUCACCAGAAUCAUGAGAAGACUUGACAAUCCUAUUGUAUGACUGAAGGAACUAGGAAUGUUUCCUCCAUAAGAAGAAACUUAGGGACAUAUCAAUAUAUUCAUUAUUUGAAGGGCUGUCAUUUCUAGGAGGAGAUCGGAUUUCUGUUUGUUUUCAGGAGAUAGAACCAGGUGUCAGUGGUGAGGAGGGGAAGUCUUUACCUGCUUGGAGUAGAUAUCUCCCUGAUUCACUGAUGAUAGUUUUGAGGUUUGUUGGAUACCCUCCACCUGGCUUAGCCUGUCUACUGAGAUGGUUUUCCUUGGCCAUGUUUGUUGCCCAUGCUACAGCUUCUUGGAGUCACAGUAAUUGCCAAGAUGGCAAUCCACAAUGAAGCAAGUCUGACCUUUCUCAAGAAGGCUAAACCUCCUGGUCCAUGAUCAUGGGUUCUAGGGCAUCAGAGAAUCUCUUCAUUGGGUUAAAAGUUGGAAAGAGCAGCAACUCAGACCACACAAAAGAUUAUCUCAAAGGAGAAGCUUGGGAAGCAUAAAAAAGAAUCAUGAACUUGGGUUGAAGUCCAGUCUUGGAUACUUUCUAAUCACAACGCUUCUUCUUAGACCUUCUUCACAUAUCAAAUUAACAAGAUAACAUAGCUGACCAUUGAUAUUGAUGACCCUUCUUAAAUUCCCCAGGCCAAAAAUGGUAUGCAGCAUUAUUAAGCAUAAGCUAUGACUUUCCUUAGGUGAAGGGGAUGCAGGUAAUAAAAACCCACUCUAUCCCA